UAAGGAAUAUUGGACAAUGGCCGCAAGGCUGAUCCAGCCAUCCAGCGUGCAGGAAGAAGGCCCUACGGGUUGUAAACUGCUUUUGUCAGGGAAUAAACCUGUGGAUUUACUCCGCAGCUGAAGGUACCUGAAGAAUAAGCACCGGCUAACUCCGUGCCAGCAGCCGCGGUAAUACGGAGGGUGCGAGCGUUAUCCGGAAUUACUGGGUUUAAAGGGUGCGUAGGCGGCUGUGUAAGUCAGGAGUGAAAGUUUGCGGCUCAACCGUAAAAUUGCUUUUGAUACUGCACGGCUAGAAUCAGGAUGAGGUCAGCGGAAUGUGGCAUGUAGCGGUGAAAUGCAUAGAUAUGCCAUAGAACACCAAUUGCGAAGGCAGCUGGCUAGACCUGUAUUGACGCUGAGGCACGAAAGCGUGGGGAGCGAACAG
rnacentral:rRNA from 1 species